CGCAAGCCUGACGGAGCAAGACCGCGUGCGGGAUGACGGCCUAAUGGUUGUAAACCGCUUUUCUCUGGGAAGAUGAUGACGGUACCAGAGGAAUCAGCCUCGGCUAACUCCGUGCCAGCAGCCGCGGUAAUACGGAGGAGGCAAGCGUUAUCCGGAAUUAUUGGGCGUAAAGCGUCCGCAGGGGGCACAUCAAGUCUGCUGUUAAAGGCUGGAGCUUAACUCCGGUAGAGCAGUGGAAACUGGUGUGCUAGAGGGCGACAGGGGUAGAGGGAAUUCCCAGUGUAGCGGUGAAACGCGUAGAGAUUGGGAAGAACACCGGUGGCGAAAGCGCUCUACUGGGUCGCACCUGACCCUCAGGGACGAAAGCUAAGGUAGCG
rnacentral:rRNA from 1 species